rnacentral:tRNA from 1 species
UGGAGGACGGUGCGGAUUUGACAAUCAAGUUCUGGGUCAGCCUGGCGGAACGCUCUGACAAGAACACCGCCGUGCUGUUCGGUGUCCGCCAU